UCCUUUUUUUCUCUCUGAAUCCCCUCCUAUUUAUCCUCUUCAAAUUAGGGUUCAGAUUGAUGCUCCAAGGUUCCAAAAGAGAAAGCUUUCAGAAGCACUUUUCGGAUGCUCAGAAGUGCUUUUCCUAUCUGAUGAUAGAUUUCGAAACGGGCGUUUCCAUGGCUUCAUUGCAACCUCUGAUAUGGUUUUGUUGGCUAAUUGUUUCUGCAGGAGGACAUGUUCAACACCAUUAUGAUAAGGUGAAUCAUUUGGCUUGAUCUCAGCAUUCGAUACCGAAGCUUCGGGCAAACCAUGAACAUCCAAAGAUAAAUUCGUGGCAUUUUCAGAAGUGCUUGAAUGAACUUGCUGCGUGUUAAUAGUCUCCAGAUCGGUAGAUUCAUCCCAAGCACGGGUUACACGGUAUUUUUGUGUUGAAUUAUUCCUAGAAUACCGUCUUCAAAAUUCAAAUUCUCUCUGAUUCUUAGAGAUCUUUCUUUUCACUGCAGCCUGACCACUAUCUGGACGAUUGUCACUUCUCCCCAUCCAUUCAUAGGUGCAUAAUGACGAGAGCAUUUUGUCAUUAUCUUGGGAUUCUCUUGAAUUUUAUCUACGGUUUCAUCUUCGGCAACAGGUUACUCAAACGGCAGCAGCAGAGACAUAACAAAGUACAAAAUAAUGCCCAGCAUGUCCAGCAACACUCAACAUUUGGUUAUGGUUGGUGUGGAGGAAAGUUGCUGCGGAUUCUCCACAAUAACUAUUAUUACUUUUUUCAUUUAUUACAAGUGAUGUAACAGUAACAGGAACAAGCACCAUUUUGCAGGCUUAGAGCUAGUGCUGUUGUUGAUGCAGCAGUAGGAUAGCUCUGGGGUUGGCAUCAAGCAGCUGAUGCAGUUUUACACCAGAAUUAGGUGUAGCUCUCUUGCUGAUGACGACUUUGGAAGCUUCUUUUUCUUCGGGCACCAACGCAUCUUUGUGACCGGAUUUCGUGUCUGAUUCACUGAACAUUGAUAAUGAAAGCAGCGACACCGUUGACAUCCACGUCCAUUUGAGAUCUCAUCUUCUUAUCAUUGUGGGAUGACUUUCUAUUCGAACCAUUGAUCGGAAGAACUUCAAUAUUUUCCUUGGAGUAUCCCAAUAUGUAGUUUUCUUUCCUUACUGAAAUGAGAUCACCAACGGUUUUGUUAAGGUCAAACGAUUGUAUUGCUUUUCCGAACAAAUAACAAGUUUAUUGUGGAUGUUAGAAAAUGCCAAAUGUAAUGCUUUUCCUCAAUCAUGGAACUUGAUCCCAUACUAAUGACAAGGAUCAGGAUGCCAAGGAAAAUGAACACUUUAUCCAAACCAUGGCUUCGUAUGAUUUUCAACAUCUUGAAUCUCCUGUAGUAACCUUGAUCUCCUGUAGUAACCUUCUGUAGUAUUAGGCUUUAUGACUGCUUCAGCCUUC